UACGGGGGGGGCAAGCGUUGUUCGGAAUUACUGGGCGUAAAGGGCUCGUAGGCGGCCAGCUAAGUCAGACGUGAAAUCCCUCGGCUUAACCGGGGAACUGCGUCUGAUACUGGAUGGCUUGAGGUUGGGAGAGGGAUGCGGAAUUCCAGGUGUAGCGGUGAAAUGCGUAGAUAUCUGGAGGAACACCGGUGGCGCAGGCGGCAUCCUGGACCAAUUCUGACGCUGAGGAGCGAAAGCCAGGGGAGCAAACGGG
rnacentral:rRNA from 1 species